AGUGAACGCUGGCGGUAGGCCUAACACAUGCAAGUCGAACGGCAGCACAGUAAGAGUUUGCUCUUACGGGUGGCGAGUGGCGGACGGGUGAGGAAUACAUCGGAAUCUACUUUUUCGUGGGGGAUAACGUAGGGAAACUUACGCUAAUACCGCAUACGACCUACGGGUGAAAGCAGGGGAUCUUCGGACCUUGCGCGAUUGUAUGAGCCGAUGUCGGAUUAGCUAGUUGGCGGGGUAAAGGCCCACCAAGGCGACGAUCCGUAGCUGGUCUGAGAGGAUGAUCAGCCACACUGGAACUGAGACACGGUCCAGACUCCUACGGGAGGCAGCAGUGGGGAAUAUUGGACAAUGGGCGCAAGCCUGAUCCAGCCAUGCCGCGUGGGUGAAGAAGGCCUUCGGGUUGUAAAGCCCUUUUGUUGGGGAAGAAAAGCAGCAGGUUAAUACCCCGCUGUCCUGACGGUACCCAAAGAAUAAGCACCGGCUAACUUCGUG
rnacentral:rRNA from 1 species